AUUGAUGGCCGUGUAGUUGCAUGGAUUUUUAAUAUUUAAGGAUUCAUGAGGAAAGUCUGGACUCCACAUAGAUAUGAUGCUGGAUAACGCCCAGCGGUAGUUUAUUAGAUAAGCUAUUAGGGAAAGUGCAACAGAAAAUAUACCGCCUUUUUAAUAAAGGUAAGGGUGAAAAGGUGUGGUAAGAGCGCACCGAGUUUUUAGUAAUAGAAACUGCUUUGUAAACCCCAUCAGGAGCAAGACCAAAUAGGCUUGGUUGAAUUUUAUAUUCCUGGUUAUCUAUGGCUAGAAAUCAAGCGGGUAGGUCGCUUUAGAUAAAUGGUAACAUUUAUUUUAGAUAAAUAACUACAAAUAGCUUUUGUUAUUACAGAAUCCAGCUUAUAGGCCAUCGUUUAAA
rnacentral:RNase_P_RNA from 1 species